AUCAAUAUAAAAAUGUUUUGUGAUGUAGAAAAAGCAUCCAAUGUUGAUCCAUUCAAUGGUUAUUUAUGUUCAUACGUUAUGGCUUCUGGAGUAGAAAAAAUGUGAAUUGCUAAUACCGUCAAUCUUCUGAUAUUUCAGAUUUGCAAAGCUGCAUUGACAAGGCAUUUGACUGCAUUUAUAUACUCUACUUUCAAUUUUAUUUCAUGGGUGUCGGGCGUUGGCAGCUUGCUAGCUGCUGGGUGACACGGCCGCGGCAGCAGUUCAGUGUUCCUCUCAUAUUCAGUUAGGAUGAGAAGGUAAUUAAAUUCAGAUGCAUUGUACCCUCCACGGAUUUUAUUUCGUUUGCUUUGUGCUUGCUUGGUCCUGAAAGCCAGCUUUAUAUUUCUAGACUAGAUACUAUUCGGAAGUGGAUGUAGUACAUUCAGCCAGGUCCAGCCAGGUCUGAAGGCACGCUUAGUGUUUUUCCUGUUGAGUAAUUGAGGAUGGGGCUUUCCCGUUUAAAAAGAAGUUAAAUAUGUGAUUAUGCAUAAAAGGAAGUCCCCGGUCUAUUUUUGUUGUGGUAUCUCGGCUUAAUGAUUCUUUCAAGGGAAGACAAGAUGGAAAAGAAGCAUCACAAACUAACCCUGGAGAAUUGAUUGUACCUCACUAGCGUCGCCAGUCUCCUAAGUGAAGGUUGGUGUAAGAACCUUCACCUCCUUCUGUUUCAUGGGAGCCGCUGGCGCCAUGUCGGACGCGAUGACAUCUGGAUUGGCAGAAAACACACAUCGGCUGCGAGCGCGGCCGUAUUUUGGAGCUAAACCUAGAAAGUUUCUUGAUUUAUGACGAAAGUGGAGUUCGUGUGGAAAAGGUGGAGGCAAAUCGGUCGAGGUGGGUUUACACAGGGCUGGCAGUUUGGUCCAUACACACGGAUACAAGAAAUAUGUAUUGGCUAUAUUUGCGUAUACUGUACAUACGAGGUUUUCAUUAGCUAAAUUUGGUUAUAUCUGCGUAUAAUGUACAUACAAGGUUUCCAUUAGCUAGACCACGGAUACAAGAAAAAUGAACUGACUAUAUUUGGUUAUAUUUGCGUAUAAUGCAUGGACAAUAUCAUUGAACAUCAGCUAAAUGCCUAAAUUUCCA